rnacentral:rRNA from 1 species
UCCCUGCGAAAGGGGAUGUUCAGCAGCAGUAGGGAAUCUUCUGCAAUGGACAACAGUCGGAGGGAGCAACCCCGGGUGAACAAUGAAGGCUUUCGGGUCGUAAAGUUUGGUUGUUAGGGAAGAACAAGUACCGUAGUAAAUGGCGGUACCUUGACGGUACCUAACCAGAAAGCCCCGGCUAACUACGUGCCAGCAGCCGCGGUAAUACGUAGGGGGCAAGCGUUGUCCGGAAUUAUUGGGCGUAAAGCGCGCGCAGGGGGUUCUUUAAGUCUGAUGUGAAAGCCCCCGGCUCAACCGUGGAGGGUCAUUGGAAACUGGGGAACUUGAGUGCAGAAGAGGAGAGUGGAAUUCCACGUGUAGCGGUGAAAUGCGUAGAGAUGUGGAGGAACACCAGUGGCGAAGGCGACUCUCUGGUCUGUAACUGACGCUGAGGCGCGAAAGCGUGGGGAGCCCACAGGGUUAGAUACCCUGGUAGUCCACGCCGUAAACGAUGACAUUAGUGUUAGAGGGUUCCGCCCCUUAGUGCUGCAGCUAACGCAUAAGCACUCCGCCUGGG